rnacentral:rRNA from 1 species
GACGAACGCUGGCGGCGUGCUUAACACAUGCAAGUCGAACGGAAAGGCCCUGCGUUUGUGGGGUGCUCGAGUGGCGAACGGGUGAGUAACACGUGAGUAACCUGCCCUUGACUUUGGGAUAACUUCAGGAAAAUGGGGCUAAUACCGGAUAGGAGCUCCUGCUGCAUGGUGGGGGUUGGAAAGUUUCGGCGGUUGGGGAUGGACUAGCGGCUUAUCAGCUUGUUGGUGGGGUAGUGGCUUACCAAGGCUUUGACGGGUAGCCGGCCUGAGAGGGUGACCGGCCACAUUGGGACUGAGGUACGGCCCAGACUCCUACGGGACGCAGCAGUGGGGAAUAUUGCAGAAUGGGCGGAAGCCUGAUGCAGCAACGCCGCGUGCGGGAUGACGGCCUUCGGGUUGUAAACCGCUGUCGCCUGUGACGAAGCGUGAGUGACGGUAAUGGGUAAAGAAGCACCGGCUAACUACGUG